rnacentral:rRNA from 1 species
GAUGAACGCUGGCGGCGUGCCUAAUACAUGCAGGUCGAGCGAACAGACGAGGAGCUUGCUCCUCUGACGUUAGCGGCGGACGGGUGAGUAACACGUGGAUAACCUACCUAUAAGACUGGGAUAACUUCGGGAAACCGGAGCUAAUACCGGAUAAUAUAUUGAACCGCAUGGUUCAAUAGUGAAAGACGGUUUUGCUGUCACUUAUAGAUGGAUCCGCGCCGCAUUAGCUAGUUGGUAAGGUAACGGCUUACCAAGGCGACGAUGCGUAGCCGACCUGAGAGGGUGAUCGGCCACACUGGAACUGAGACACGGUCCAGACUCCUACGGGAGGCAGCAGUAGGGAAUCUUCCGCAAUGGGCGAAAGCCUGACGGAGCAACGCCGCGUGAGUGAUGAAGGUCUUCGGAUCGUAAAACUCUGUUAUUAGGGAAGAACAAAUGUGUAAGUAACUAUGCACGUCUUGAUGGUACCUAAUCAGAAAGCCACGGCUAACUACGUG